rnacentral:rRNA from 1 species
UACGUAGGGUGCAAGCGUUGUCCGGAAUUAUUGGGCGUAAAGAGCUCGUAGGCGGUUUGUUGCGUCGGCUGUGAAAUCCCGAGGCUCAACCUCGGGUCUGCAGUCGAUACGAGCAAACUAGAGUGUUGCAGGGGAGACUGGAAUUCCUGGUGUAGCGGUGAAAUGCGCAGAUAUCAGGAGGAACACCGGUGGCGAAGGCGGGUCUCUGGACAGUUCCUGACGCUGAGGCACGAAAGCGUGGGGAGCGAACCGG